rnacentral:rRNA from 1 species
CGUAGGGUGCGAGCGUUAAUCGGAAUUACUGGGCGUAAAGCGUGCGCAGGCGGUUUAGUAAGACAGGCGUGAAAUCCCCGGGCUCAACCUGGGAACUGCGCUUGUGACUGCUAAGCUAGAGUACGGCAGAGGGGGGUGGAAUUCCACGUGUAGCAGUGAAAUGCGUAGAGAUGUGGAGGAACACCAAUGGCGAAGGCAGCCCCCUGGGUCGAUACUGACGCUCAUGCACGAAAGCGUGGGUAGCAAACAGGAUUAGAUACCCUGGUAGUCCACGCCCUAAACGAUGUCAACUAAGUGUUGGGAGGGUAAAACCUUUUAGUACCGGAGCUAACGCGUGAAGUUGACCGCCUGGGGAGUACGGCCGCAAGGUUA